AGGGACUGCUCUAGCAUUAUCCGCCCGGCCCAGUCAAACUCUUCACCUAAUUACGGAAACUCUCAAUGAAGGAGGUUAUUUUUAGCUGUUUAACUACCGCCUGGCGCUGCUGCAGCUCUGCGGCUCGUCGAGGCGGAGACACCGAGACAGAUCCGUGUUCUCACGCUCUGUGCUGGAACGGAGAACUUUUUAAGGUGCCCCAGAACUCGCCGGAGGGUCUUUUGAUGAUUUUCUCUUUCUGUGCAGGAUUCCUCCCCGUGACCACGCCAUCCGUCCGGAGGUACAGCCCUGAGGAACGUUAGCGUGGAGAAGAGGAGGAGGAGGAGGAGGAGGAGGAGGAGCUGAACACUGUUAUAGUUUUAAAGAAACUGACACCCAGUGGACACGCCUCCUUCGCUGAAACUGACGCCCAGUGGACACGCCUCCUUCGCUGAAACUGACGCCCAGUGGACACGCCUCCUUCGCUGAAACUGACGCCCAGUGGACACGCCUCCUUCGCUGAAACUGACGCCCAGUGGACACGCCUCCUUCGCUGAAACUGACGCCCAGUGGACACGCCUCCUUCGCGAAACUGACGCCCAGUGGACACGCCUCCUUCGCUGAAACUGACGCCCAGUGGACACGCCUCCUUCAUAGGCGGAGUUUAGUUGUACCAGUUACAGUGCCUUGCAGAAGUUUUCACCCUCCUUGGUGUUUUUCCUGUUCUGUUGCAUUACGACCUGGAAUUAACAUGGAUUUUUAUUUGUUUUUUGUUUUUUGUUUUUUUGGUAAUGGACCUAACAAAACAGUCCAGAUUAUUGAAGUGGAAUGAAAAAAU
ensembl:lncRNA